rnacentral:rRNA from 1 species
UACGUAGGGGGCGAGCGUUGUCCGGAUUUAUUGGGCGUAAAGAGCUCGUAGGCGGUUCGAUAAGUCGGACGUGAAAUCUCCACGCUCAACGUGGAGGGGCCGUUCGAUACUGUCGUGACUCGAGUCCGGUAGGGGAGUGUGGAAUUCCCGGUGUAGCGGUGAAAUGCGCAGAGAUCGGGAGGAACACCCGUAGCGAAGGCGGCACUCUGGGCCGGUACUGACGCUGAGGAGCGAAAGCGUGGGGAGCAAACAGGGAU